UUACCUCCCAAGCCAAGGCCUAUAGAUUAGUCGAGAAGCCUUUGCAAGUGAGGUGCUAGGGAUGGAGAGAAAUCUUGUGCCUGCAGGCGUGGUGUUCUUGAUGCUAAUCUUGUUUGCUUCAGUUGCCGGUGCAAGAUUGUGCGAGUCGCAAAGCCACACGUACAAGGGAACGUGCACGAACAACCAUAACUGCGCCAUUGUAUGCCAGAGAGAGGGAAGGGGAUUUACUGGUGGCAGGUGCAGGGGAUUCUGGCGAAAGUGCUACUGCACCAAGAUAUGUUAGGUGCUGCAUCUCACUCUUAGCAUCCAAGCUAUUGUACGUACAUGGAUCUGCUUUAAAAAAUAUGGGAUAUUAUGUAUGUGGGAAGAUUAUUCUCCGUUGGUAGUUCUCUGUAGUUCUUCUCUGGGACAUGCUUUGAGGUUUCUAGCUUUCCAGUGUUCUUAUCUGGGAUAUGGUAUGUGUAAGAAAAUUACUUUGGAUUAUUUUGUGCCUCCUGGUAUAUAUACACUUGAUAUAAAGUUUGA